AUCCUUUGCUUUUGCAAAGAGGAAUCUACAAAGGUAUAAAUUUCUCAACUCACUUUCUUUUUGAGUUGAGUCUUGGUUCACCUAACUACUAGGCUUUGAAUUUCAUGGGUAAUGUUUUGUUUUGAGUGCAUGCAAGCAUGAUUCCGCCUUUAAUUGUUAAUUGCAUGCUAUAGAUGUUGCUCAAAUGAACAUGUUUUUCACAAAAUUUCCUUCAAGUGGUAUCAGAGCCUAGGUCUAAUAGUUGGUGAAUCCUUUUGGGUUUUGUAGUUCAUAGUCUUUGAUUUGAAUGUUGUAAUUGUUACAAGCUUUAUUCUUGCUUCUUUGAAUGUAAAUUUUGUUAGAGGGAGACUACCUCGUCAAGCAGUACGUGCG
rnacentral:lncRNA from 1 species